rnacentral:ribozyme from 12 species
CCACACACACACACACACAAAAAAAAAAAAAAAAAAAAAAAAAAAAAAAAAAAAAAAAAAAAAAAAAUCUUCAUCUUCCUUUUCUUUACAU